rnacentral:snoRNA from 1 species
GAUGCAUAUGAUGAGAAGCAAGACAGGGACAUCAGCACCCCCUUUCUGUGAAGGUGGGGAGUGAUCGACUAAGUCUCAAUGGGAAUCUCUCUGAUGCAUA